rnacentral:tRNA from 1 species
GAGGGUGGAGCUCAGUGAUAGAGCACAUGCUUAGCAUACAAGAGGGUCUGGGUUCAAUCCCCAGUACCUCCA